rnacentral:tRNA from 1 species
GGGAAAAUGCUCGAGUGGUUAAAGAGGGUAGAUUGUAAAUCUAUUAGCUUUGCUUACACUGGUUCGAAUCCAGUUUUUCCCA